UAGUGGCGAACGGGUGAGUAACACGUGAGAAACCUGCCCCAGACUCUGGGAUAACCUCGGGAAACCGAAGCUAAUACCGGAUAUUCUCCUUUGGUCGCAUGGCCAGUUGAGGAAAGUUUUUCGGUCUGGGAGGGUCUCGCGGCCUAUCAGCUAGUUGGUGGGGUAACGGCCCACCAAGGCUACGACGGGUAGCUGGUUUGAGAGAACGAUCAGCCACACUGGAACUGAGACACGGUCCAGACUCCUACGGGAGGCAGCAGUGGGGAAUCUUGCGCAAUGGGCGAAAGCCUGACGCAGCAACGCCGCGUGAGUGAUGAAGGCCUUAGGGUUGUAAAGCUCUUUCACCGGUGAAGAUAAUGACGGUAACCGGAGAAGAAGCCCCGGCUAACUUCGUGCCAGCCGCCGCGGUAAU
rnacentral:rRNA from 1 species